rnacentral:lncRNA from 1 species
CUCCUGGAAUGCAUCUUUGCCUUCCUUAUCUGGAAGCUAAUCACUAAAUAGCAGGUGGCGGAGAUUCUGGUUUUCAUCCCUCUUUCUCUCUCCCUUUCUCUCUUUUACUCACUUCCUCAGGGCUAUGAAUUUCUGAAUCUUAAACAGGAAACCUCCCUGAUUUGUUCACACCUGGAAUGCCAUUCUAUCUUUGUUUGAAGAGUGCAGAAAUUAGAGCGCGGGAGAAUCAAGAGAAGGAGCUGUUGUGUGAAGAGGGAAGAGAGAGGUCAGCAUUUAAAUGUGAACACACACACUGAGAGGCACAUAUACAUGCACACAGUUUAAUCUAAGCUAAGCAUUCUUUCUUUCAACUCCUGCAUUUCCCUCCUCAUCUCCACUGCCAGCAAAUGUCUUACAAGACAAAGAGUAUUUACUGUGUGUCACUUCAGUUAUCAACACUCUGCACAAAUAGGUUGACAGAGGAAACAGGCAAAGUACCUUUGCAGGCCCAUUUGGGGUUGAAAUAGCAACUAGACUGCCUAGAGGCUGCCAGAUAUUAGCUUACUUAUUGCUCCUGCAAAUGUUAGAAGCUGGCUCUUGAGAGAACCUGUCAUCAACAUCCCUGUCCCCGUGGGUGUCAGGAAGGUUCGGCCUUCUUUAAGGUAGGCACUGUGUCCUCAUGGACUGUUCAUUUUGGGAAGAACCUUGGGAGAUCACCUGGUUCAAGCUCCUGGCUUUAGUCAUUGUUUGUCUCUAAAUCCAGAGACCAAUGUUUGUGAUCUACUGACUCGUAAGCUCCCUAUGAGGAAAAUGGAACAAAAUAUUGGGCACAAAGACAUAAAUCUAAAUGCAUGGUUUCUAAUCUGUGGACCCUGAGAUCCCACAGGAGCACCAUAUUUGCAUGAAUCAGUGCUUAUAGGUUGACCAAAUAGCAUGAUUCACA